AAUAUUGCACAAUGGAGAGAACUCUGAUGCAGCAACGCCGCUUGAGUGAAGAAGGAUUUAGGAUCGAAAAACUCUGUCAAUGGGGAAGAAUAAAUGACGGUACCCAAUGAGGAAGUCCCGGCUCACUACGUGCCAGCAGCCGCGGUAAUACGUAGGGGGCGAGGGUUGUCCGGAAUUAUUGGGCGUAAAGGGUUCGCAGGCGGUCUUUUAAGUCUGAUGUGAAAUCUUACAGCUUAACUGUAAGCGGUCAUUGGAAGCUGGGGGACUUGAGUGCAGAAGAGGAGAGUGGAAUUCCAUGUGUAGCGGUGAAAUGCGUAGAGAUAUGGAGGAACACCAGUGGCGAAGGCGACUCUCUGGUCUGUAACUGACGCUGAGGCGCGAAAGCGUGGGGAUCAAACA
rnacentral:rRNA from 1 species